rnacentral:ncRNA from 1 species
AACUUUUUGUUAAGAAAGUUUUUUAUUAAAAGUAUACAUUGUAAAAUAAAUUUUAUAAAAUUCAAAUUAUACACAAAAUAUAUAAUAAAAGUAUACAUUGUAAACUAACGAGAAAGUUAUUUAUUCAAACGUACAAUGUAUACUUUGCCAAGCGUCGGAUUGUUCACCCGCCAAUAGGGAACGUGAGCUGGGUUUAGACCGUCGUGAGACAGGUUAGUUUUACCCUACUGAUAACAGGUCGUUGCCGUAGUAAUCCUGCUUAGUACGAGAGGAACCGCAGGUUCGGGCAUUUGGUACACGCACUCGGUCGACAGGCCGGUGGUGCGAUGCCACCGUCCGCGGGAUUAUGCCUGAACGCCUCUAAGGCCGAAUCCCGACUAUGGUU